AGCGAACGCUGGCGGCAGGCUUAACACAUGCAAGUCGAGCGGGCCCUUCGGGGUCAGCGGCAGACGGGUGAGUAACGCGUGGGAACGUGCCCUUCGGUUCGGAAUAACUCAGGGAAACUUGAGCUAAUACCGGAUACGCCCUUAUGGGGAAUGGUUUACUGCCGAAGGAUCGGCCCGCGUCUGAUUAGCUAGUUGGUGAGGUUAUGGCUCACCAAGGCGACGAUCAGUAGCUGGUCUGAGAGGAUGAUCAGCCACACUGGGACUGAGACACGGCCCAGACUCCUACGGGAGGCAGCAGUGGGGAAUAUUGGACAAUGGGGGCAACCCUGAUCCAGCCAUGCCGCGUGAGUGAUGACGGCCUUAGGGUUGUAAAGCUCUUUUCUCCGGGACGAUAAUGACGGUACCGGAGGGAUAAGCCCCGGCUAACUUCGUG
rnacentral:rRNA from 1 species